GGUCAGGUAGCUCAGUGGUUAGAGCUCUCGGUUUACAUCCGAGUGGUCAGAGGUUCGAAUCCUCUCCUGACCA
rnacentral:tRNA from 1 species